UGGCGGACGGGUGAGUAAUGUCUGGGAAACUGCCUGAUGGAGGGGGAUAACUACUGGAAACGGUAGCUAAUACCGCAUAACGUCGCAAGACCAAAGAGGGGGACCUUCGGGCCUCUUGCCAUCGGAUGUGCCCAGAUGGGAUUAGCUAGUAGGUGGGGUAACGGGCUCACCUAGGCGACGAUCCCUAGCUGGUCUGAGAGGAUGACCAGCCACACUGGAACUGAGACACGGUCCAGACUCCUACGGGAGGCAGCAUG
rnacentral:rRNA from 1 species